UUAUAAGGAGUAAUGGUGGAGAGAGAGAGACAUGGGAGCAGUGUGUGACUUUCCGAGUUGAGGAACUCGAGUGAGGUUAUUAGCUGGGUUCCCUUGUGAAAGGCGGACGGCUGGAGAGACAGAGACUGAGAGAGAAAGAGAGACAGACAGACUCUGCUGCUGCUGCUGUGCCUUAGGUUCAGGGAGUGCAGCAGGUGCAGAGCUGGCGAGACUGUUCCUGCUGAUCAGAAGUGGAGCAGAGACUGGAAGCAUGAGGGGCUGCAGACUGACUGUGCUGCUGGCGGCAGGUUUGGCCUGGUUUAAUCAUGCAGCUGCUGAUGUGAAUUCUACCCUCACGUUGGAGGCAGAGAAAUAUUUAUGUGAACAAGGAAAGCAAAUCAAUUGUACAGGUACUCUUACAGAAUCUCCCGAAUCUCCCCAGUCAGGACACUUCACCAAGUGCCCAAAGAGGUUUAGGAGCUACUGUAUUGAAGGAGAAUGUCGGUUUAUACAAUCUGAGCAGCAGCCUUCAUGUGUGUGUAAAUUUGGUUACAUUGGAUCUCGGUGUGAAUUGGUGGACAUGUUCUAUCUAACCGGAAAGCAGGACCAAGUCAUCAUCAUUGGUCUAGUCCUGACGAUGGUGGUGCUCAUCAUUGUGAUAAUAAUCAUCUGUAUUUGUGUACAGUUAGUCGAUUUCGCAGGAAACACAAAGCACGAAGGAAGAGCGGCGAAGAAGUUGAAGCCCUGAGCUCAAAACCACUGGAGGGGAAAGAUCUGCAAGGUGAAGAUGAAGACACGGCCAUGACCACUCUAGCUUGAAAUCUUUCUAGUUGGGAGGUACCUGCAGGCAGGUUGGUCCUUCCAGAAAUGCAAGAAGCCCCAACAGUUUUCAGUCGAGGCUCAUUCAUUGAAACCAAUCUGAAAGUUCUGGUUCUUGUUCUAAGCAACAAUCUGAAAGGAUGGCGGAGUAAAUUUGGAGAAAAAAGAACAUAUUACUAACUACAUUUACACUCAACUAGCAAUUACCUACAACUUGUACGAUACCUGUACCCAACCUUCAUUGUGCUUUGAAAUGGUGCUGGAAAGACUAUAGACUUCAUAUCACAAAUUGGGAAAAGAUUUAAAACACAUAAGCUGGAUACUCAAUAAUAGUGAAAGACUGAAAGGUUAGUUCACAAUUCUAGACUAAUCUACAAUCAUCAGGAAGCCUUUUCCAGAGAACACUUCAUCCAUUAUCACCUUGUCCACAGUGUGGAAAUUACACUUAUAACAAAAUCAAAAUAUGUUACUAAAAAUCGUGGACAAUGGGGAGACUGAAGGAUUUCUCGUUGCUAAUUUUAGCUGUGAAAGAAGACAGUUAAAAAUGAAUAAUAUGACCAUGACUAGUCUCUCUUUUCUCAUAAAUGGAGCAAAAACAGAGAAUUUCUGUCCCCAGAUGAAAAUUGUGGCUUUAAGUGAACUUGUUCUGACAGCACAGAUGAUUAAUGUGAAUGCAGAUGGAGUGAAUUACCUGCUCACAAAUCGCUUCCUUUUUUAAUAAAAGGAACCACAUUUUUUUUUGUCUAAGAAAAGUGUGAUCUAUUUAUGAAUGUUAAGCGUGUUUAUAGAGAGAAGAAUGGAAAAGCUGACAAGUUGGCUGGUUGACUCUUCCAUUUUUUGCCAGAGCACCUUAAACUCUGUGAAGUAAAAUACCAACAGAUUGAAUGAGUAUUAAAGUGAUUUCACUUUUUCCUUUUUACUGUCUUUGCAGUAGAGAUUGAGAAUUCAGAAAUAUAGAUGUAAGUGUCUUUCGGGGAUGUUGCAAUCAUUUGUUAUUUAAUAAAUGUAUUUCAUAAU